UCAUGCAUUUUCCGUGAUUAUUGAUGCAAUCGCUUCUUUGGCGAGUCAAAAACAUGCAGAUAAAAAUUUUUUUGUGUUGACACCCAGAAGUCACUAGAUGGAGCCAUAGGCCAAUACAUGAAUUUUCUUGCGAAGCUAGCUUCAGAUCGGUCAAAAAUUAAUGCAAUAAAGACGGUUGGCUUUACAAAAAAAAAUGGUGUCAAUGUUGUCUGAGCUCACUUUCAGUCUAUUUGGGCAUGCGUAUUUGCAAUUUUGCACGUUUGCACAAGACAAUAAAAAGGUACUUCCCGGAAAUGCAAAAAAACCAAAACAAAAAACCACGUGUUUAUUGUUGUCGUUUGAAUUUCAACUUUUAUUGGUUGGGUGUUUGAAUUUCUUUACUCUCAUUGGUUCUGGGCAUUUUGGGAGUCUCUGUUCUCGCGAGGAUCACCAUUUUGCAUUUCUUCCAACACAACUUAUGAUCGAUGGCGGCGAGAAGUAUUUCACCGCAGGACACGAUUCGAAUGGUGUUAGAAAAUCCUGAUUCCGACGACGACGACCUUUGUUCGGACGCUUCUUUGGAGAGCCCAGAAGACAUUGAACAAAUUCUUCCGGACUUUCGAUGCCGGAGGAGGACGGCUUUGAUGACGAGGAUUAGGAAAUAGUUGACAACAUAACGAGAUGAAAGCGGGGAGCAGAAGGCGGGGGCACGGACAUGACCACGUUGAGGCGCAUGACGAAAAUGACGGCGAUCGAGGCCUGAGGCACAUACUCCUGCCGCCGGCGCGCACUCAGGUGGCCAAUGUGUGUUUUUUCACAUGCCGGACAUUUCGUCAUGCAGCGCGUUUGUGCUGUUCACGGAGAUCUACCCUGAGUGGAACGUGAAGAAAAGCUACAAGCGCCGACUAUUUCUUGAGGAACUUGGCAAGGCUCUAAUUCGGCCAGAAGUCCUAAAACGGGAACCACCGCCUUCUGCCGAAGGCUUGGUUGAGCAGCGAGCUGGACCCCCGUCCAAGCGCAAACAAUGUGGCCUUUGCACAAAGCCACUUCGGGCUUCGAACAUAAUAAUAAAUAAUAAUACAUUUUAUUUAUAACGCACUUUACAUUUGAACAACAAAUCUCAAAGUGCACAUCAUGAAUUGUGUAUGUUGUUAUUAUGUUAACUGUUAUAUUGUAUGUAUGUUUUGUAAAAUUGUUAACAUAAAUUCUAUCAUCAAAUCA